rnacentral:rRNA from 1 species
ACGAACGCUGGCGGCGUGCUUAACACAUGCCAGUCGCACGGAAAGGCCCUGCUUGCAGGGUACUCGAGUGGCGAACGGGUGAGUAACACGUGGGUGAUCUGCCCUGCACUUCGGGAUAAGCCUGGGAAACUGGGUCUAAUACCGGAUAGGAGCCAUUUUUAGUGUGAUGGUUGGAAAGUUUUUUCGGUGUAGGAUGAGCUCGCGGCCUAUCAGCUUGUUGGUGGGGUAAUGGCCUACCAAGGCGGCGACGGGUAGCCGGCCUGAGAGGGUGGACGGCCACAUUGGGACUGAGAUACGGCCCAGACUCCUACGGGAGGCAGCAGUGGGGAAUAUUGCACAAUGGGCGCAAGCCUGAUGCAGCGACGCCGCGUGGGGGAGGACGGCCUUCGGGUUGUAAACUCCUUUCGCUAGGGACGAAGCUUUUUGUGACGGUACCUAGAUAAGAAGCACCGGCUAACUACGUG